rnacentral:lncRNA from 1 species
AUGGUGCUGGCCUGGGCCUGGGUAGGGAUGGGUUGGUGCUGGCCUGGGGCCGGGCAGGGGUGGGACGCCGCACAGCCCCGCCUCUGCGUAGGCUUUCCAUGGAUGCAGAGGGUGGGAUGGUGCUGGCCUGGGCCCGGGCAGGGGUGGGACGCCGCACAGCCCCGCCUCUGCGUAGGCUCUCUGUGGAUGCAGAGGGUGGGAUGGUGCUGGCCUGGGCCUGGGCAGGGGUGGGACAUGGAGGGCACAGAGUCUGUUUCGUGCAGGACGAGUGAGCUCUGGAGCUGUGUCCCGAGUCUGCGCGCGCUCCUGCCCCUGCUCUGGGUGAAGAGGAAGCAGACGGGGCUGCUGCCAGAAGUGAGGCGGGGUGGGGGGAGAAAGCGCCCGGGCUCCUGCCCCUCGCCCAUCAGGGCUCGGCUGUCCCUCUGGUUCCUGCUGCUGCCCGGGCUCCUGCCUCUCGCCCAUCAGGGCUUGGCUGUCCCUCUGGUUCCUGCUGCUGCCCGGGCUCCUGCCUCUCGCCCAUCAGGGCUCGGCUGUCCCUCUGGUUCCUGCUGCUGCCCGGGCUCCUGCCCCUUACCCAUCAGGGCUCGGCUGUCCCUCUGGUUCCUGCUGCUGCCCGGGCUCCUGCCCCUCGCCCAUCAGGGCUCCUCUGCCCCUCUGGUUCCUGCUGCUACGCGGCCUCCUGCCCCUCGCCCAUUAGGGCUCCUCUGUCCCUCUGGUUCCUGCUGCUGCCCGGGCUCCUGCCCCUUACCCAUCAGGGCUCGGCUGUCCCUCUGGUUCCUGCUGCUGCCCGGGCUCCUGCCCCUCGCCCAUCAGGGCUCCUCUGCCCCUCUGGUUCCUGCUGCUACGCGGCCUCCUGCCCCUCGCCCAUUAGGGCUCCUCUGUCCCUCUGGUUCCUGCUGCUGCCCGGGCUCCUGCCCCUUACCCAUCAGGGCUCCUCUGUCCCUCUGGUUCCUGCUGCUGCCCGGGCUCCUGCCCCUCGCCCAUCAGGGCUCCUCUGCCCCUCUGGUUCCUGCUGCUACGCGGCCUCCUGCCCCUCGCCCAUUAGGGCUCCUCUGUCCCUCUGGUUCCUGCUGCUGCCCGGGCUCCUGCCUCUCACCCAUCAGGGCUCGGCUGUCCCUCUGGUUCCUGCUGCUGCCCGGCCUCCUGCCCUCACCCAUCAGGGCUCCUCUGCCCCUCUGGUUCCUGCUGCUGCCCGGGCUCCUGCCCCUCGCCCAUCAGGGCUCCUCUGCCCCUCUGGUUCCUGCUGCUACACGGCCUCCUGCCCCUCGCCCAUUAGGGCUCCUCUGUCCCUCUGGUUCCUGCUGCUGCCCGGGCUCCUGCCCCUUACCCAUCAGGGCUCCUCUGUCCCUCUGGUUCCUGCUGCUGCCUGGGCUCCUGCCCCUCACCCAUUAG